UUACCAUCUCUACCACAAAUCAAAACAAAACAAAGUUAUAUUUACAUCAAAACUUUGAAAAUUGGACGAAAUUGGUGGCUUCGAUGUCCUUGCCACAACGCACCCACCCAACCUUGGGUGCCCCAAAAAGGAUGUAGGAGGCACGCCCAAUCUCCGGCAGACCGGAGUCUAUUCCUGGUGGAUUAGGAUCGGCUCAUCUCCCCGCCCAAGGCCGAUCUCAGACCGUCGCCCAGAUGAGAAGCGGUCAAAGCGGCAACAACAGAAGGGAAAUUUUUAGUGUUUGGCAAAAUCGCCGCACGGCACUAAAUUGGAGGCGUUUGCCAACCGGGUCGCCUAAUCCUGAAGAGCUCCAAGGGAAAAGAAGGGACGUGCUGAAAAGAUAAGUACGCUAAAUAAAUCCCAGUUCAACGUCGGAUGUGGUUGAAGCUGCAGCCAGAAGAGAAAAUCGCUAGCGGCAAAAUCCAGCGAGAGUCCGCACGGAGCCAAUUGGUCCGGAGGAUAGCGCAGCGUCUGCGUAAGAGGCACCGGAGGCAGUGCGUCGGUGGACUUGGAGAUGACCAAGUGGUCAGCGCGGGCAUUCGUUCCCGGAACGGACUUACCGAGGGAAUCUCCGUAUGUGGCCGUCUCGGAGGCAGUUGCUGGGGCUGGGGCUGAUGCUGAUGCUGCUGAUCGCUGCUGCUGCAGUGACUAAUGCUGCUGCGGAAGCUGACCGCU